UGACGUUUACCUGCACUCCAUUGAGAGAGGCGACUCCCAUGUACAGGAAGACUCCGUACAGCACCGGCAUCGGGAUGAACUGGAGCAUAGAGAUGGAAAAAUACACAUGAACUUAAAACAUUCCUCUUACAAUCCAUUCUGUCAUUUACAUUCACAAAUGCUGUUCUAAAAAAAAUGCAGCUUUCACAAAACAAGCUGAACAUUUCAGCUUAAUGUGGGAAAAAUCACUCCACUGUAUUCCACUGGUUCUGAAUUUUAAGUGUGAAAUCUACACAGGUCACUCUAAACGUCUUUCCGUUAAAUCUACUGUAGAUGCUGCUAAGAAACCCACAGUGCAAAGCAUUUAGUCUCAGUGAUGAUUCAAAAUCAGAUCAUAAAUCAGAAUCGCAAUAGAAAUAUUUCAGCUGUGACAUUCUGAUGUAGAUUUCAGUUUCAGAAGUGACAGAUUCAGAGACGUAAAUAGGUUCAACUUGGCCUAAAACAACAACACUGGUACCAGGGGUCCGUUUCACGAAGCAGGUUCAACAAACUCUGAGUUUAACCCUGAACUCUGAGUUGAUCUACUCUGAGAUAGAAAACUCUGAGUUUUCGGUUUCACAACGGCUGAUUUGAGUUGGUUAAAUCAACUCGGAGUAGUUUCACCCGGAGUUAAGCGCGUGCACCACAACUCUGAAAAGCCAGUAUCAAUGGAGCGCCGAUUCGACGAGUCACCAUGGCAACGGGGAAGCGGAGGACUACGUUUUUUACACCACUUGAACUGGACAUCUUAAUUCGUUCAUAUGGCGACUUCGAACACGUUUUUAGAAAGAAGUGCAACACCUGCAGCUGCAAAAGAGAGAGAGACGGUGUGGGAGAACAUUGCUGCCUGGGUCAAUGCGUAAGUUUAAAUCACAAUAAUAUUACAGGAAAACUGUUUGAAUAGUAGACUAUUAAGUUAUUUCAUUUAGGUGCAAUCCUGCAGGGGAGAAGCACAUGUGGCAGCAGCUGAAGAUGAAAUAUAAAAACAUUUUUAAAACAGGUAAGAAGUCGGCAUAAUCUCAUGGAGCUUCCUCAUUUUGAUCAUGUUUUACAUUGUAAAGUAGCCUAAAUAUUAGGUGGCUGUUUGACUGUGCAGUGGUUUUAUUCCACACACAGCCUAAAUGUCUGCAUCCAUAUCAUGUUCUGUCAAACAAUUAAGCCUAUUUAAACUAACACAGACUUCCACUCAGCCAACAGAAAGAAAGCAGAUGCCUGUAAAAAGGGAGGUGGCCCAGCACCACCACCUGUAACGGAGGCAGAGGAGCUGGUCCUAAGCCAGAAUUUGGAAAGGCCAGUGGCUGAGGGAAUCCCUGGAGGGAGCUCAUCCUCUGAGACCACAUCCCAAGACACAAGUGCUUUUAUAAAAUGUAAUAUGCCUGUGUGUAUAUACAUAUAUAUAUAUGUGUGUGUGUGUGUGUGUGUGUGUAGCCCACAGUGUGUUUUCAAGCAUAUUCAUACAAAUAUUUAUUUCUCUUUUGGGUCUUUUUUCUUUUGGCCCAACAAAUUCUGAUGGUACUAUCUGCCUGGUGGAGCCCCUUCACACCACAACAGACCUUGUAACUGAUGAAGAGGAUGAAACUGUGUCUGCUGCCUUUACAGAGGGGGAUCCAGAAAGGCAUCUAGAGAGCAUGGCUGGACAGCAGCAGGAUGCUUCCUCAACUUCCACUGCACAGAUUGACACAGUGAGAUGGAUGUUCAGUAAACACCAGAGGUUCAGUCCAUGGAAUUCAUGUGCAACUGUCUAAUUUAAUGCCCUCCGUGUAUUCCCAGUUACCAGUAAAACAAAUAUACAAAAUGCACUUGCUGAGAAAAAUCUAAAAAACAGAUGAAGAAAUGCAAUACUUGGACCACCAGAUUAGGAGGGCAGAUCUGGAAAUUGAAAUACUGGAGCACAAGUCAGAGGUGGAUGCAGGUCACAGGUGAAUUAUGUUAACUAUUGCAACAUUAACUAAACUAGCUCUUUUAUUUGUAGGAAAUAAAGAAGACCAAAUGAAAUGUGUAUCAUGUGUUUAUU